UACGGGGGGUGCGAGCGUUGUCCGGAAUCACUGGGCGUAAAGGGCGCGUAGGUGGUUUGAUAAGGGUGUGGUGAAAGUCCGGGGCUCAACCCCGGAUCUGCCGUGCCGACUGUCAAACUCGAGGACUGUAGAGGCAGACGGAAUUCCGGGUGUAGCGGUGGAAUGCGUAGAGAUCCGGAGGAAGACCGGUGGCGAAGGCGGUCUGCUGGGCAGUUUCUGACACUGAGGCGCGACAGCGUGGGGAGCAAACAGGGAUAGAAACCGUGUACG
rnacentral:rRNA from 1 species